rnacentral:rRNA from 1 species
AUACGGAGGGUGCAAGCGUUAAUCGGAAUUACUGGGCGUAAAGCGUACGUAGGCGAUUCGUUAAGUUAGAUGUGAAAGCCCCGGGCUUAACCUGGGAACUGCAUUUAAAACUGGCGAACUAGAGUUGAGUAGAGGGGAGUGGAAUUUCAGGUGUAGCGGUGAAAUGCGUAGAGAUCUGAAGGAACACCAGUGGCGAAGGCGGCUCCCUGGACUCAAACUGACGCUGAGGUACGAAAGCGUGGGCAGCAAACGGGAUUAGAUACCCCAGUAGUCC